GUCGGGAUAGUUCAGCCUGGCAGAAUGCCACAAACUUAAACUUGGUGUUUAGGUUGGCGAUGCUCAUGAGUUUGCUGGGUAACGUGGAGGUCGAGGGUUCAAAUCCCUCUCCCGACA
rnacentral:tRNA from 1 species